ensembl:snoRNA SNORA72 Small nucleolar RNA SNORA72
UUGUGAAUACUCUCGCUCUUCUGAUUCUGUAAUAAUCUGGGCAGGCUAAACAUCCACUGUAUUAAAACCGUUCAGGGGGAGGGUAGAGCUC